rnacentral:misc_RNA from 1 species
AACCUAGCACACCUGCGGUGUGUACCUGCGGAGGGAUCAUUACUGAGUGUAAAAACUCCCAAACCCAUUGUGAACAUACCACUGUUGCUUCGGCGGAUACGCCCCGGGCGCGCUCUUCACAGGGCGUGCCCCGGAACCAGGCGCCCGCCGGGGGACCGAAACUCUUGUUUUCUUAGGAUCUCUGAGUGUGAUUAUUAAAUAAAUCAAAACUUUCAACAACGGAUCUCAGAUCGGAAGAGC